CAGAAAACCUUUUUCUCACCAGUAAACAUAAAAUCUUUGCAACAGAAGUUUCUAGUGUGUAAGCACACGUCCAUUCUUCCUAACGUGUGUUGGUGAUAAAGGCACUUAGCACCUGUGAUAUGAUGAAGUUACAGUCUAUUCAUUUUCUAUCUGUGAUAGCUCUGUUGUAUCACUCACAAUGAUUUUCAGUUCUGCUAUCAGAAGCAAGUCAACUGUUACUCUGGCAACAACUGGAUAUUUCAAACUAUCAUCUUGAUUGCAAAUGAAUGAAUUGCACACUGCAGUUGGAGACACUUUGUACAUUUUACAGAAAAUAUGGCUGGUGGGAGAAAAUAGAAUGAGAAGACUUAUCCCUACAGCCCCAUUUUAAUAAGGGUUAUUAAUAUUUUAUUAUUUUAUGGUACCUUAUUUUAUUAAGCUAUACAUAAUCUUCAGUAGAUUCCUUUCAAAAUAUUAACUGUAUAUGGUAGUUUAAAACAUAUUUUCACAUGAUAUUUAACUAUAAAAUAUAGGCACCAUUUUAAAGAUAAAUAUAAAUGUACUAGUAUGAAAAGAAUACUAUUCUUUUUCCAAGUUAUUACCUUCAAAGGCUACAAAAUUACUUCUAUGAUAUCACAAUUCAAAUAUGUGCAAUGAUCAGCCUUUAAAACAUUCUAAGAUAGAAUUGGCCACUAACAUCUUAGGUGAACACCUUUCCUAUCUAUGACACUUCUGGAGAUGUCACAAACCUGUAAUGUGACUUCACCAUGCUGUCAGGUUGAGCAUCUGGCUAGUUGUAAGCAGUCUCUGUGUGGGUUAAAGUAGCUUUAGAAGAUUUCCACCUUCUGCUGCUAAGGGUCUGUUGGUCUUUGUAAUUGGCUUUUUGGUUUCACAUAAUAAGUGAUUUUAGUGUAUGAGAUUUGCUGCCACAAGGUCCUCUUGCCCAAGGUCAUCUUCCAGAGUUUUCCAGGGUUAAAAAGUCGAGCCUUACUCAUCAAUCUCCACAAACCACCACCAGCUAUCUCCUUGCUUUCCUUAAGGACUGCAGCAGGCUAACACAUUAACCAAGCACUUAAUAAUGGUAGUCUGCAAACCACUAAGCCAAAGAUCGUCAGCUUAUUUCCAGGAUGUGAAGACUAUCAUUCAGAUCCUCCCUUCUUAAGCUAACUUCCCAAGCCCCACUCUUCUGCACCCUCCACAUUCGUAUACACUCCAUGUGAAAGGCUGCAGCUCCUCUGAUCAAGAGGUACACGCUAUUUUCCAACUCCACAAAUUUGGCUUGAGCCUGGAACUCACUUUGGCCAAUGAGACUAUAGCAAGUACGAUGCAGUGGCCUGAACAGCACUUAUGUAAAAGGA